rnacentral:rRNA from 1 species
GAGAGUUUGAUCCUGGCUCAGGGUGAACGCUAGCGGCGUGCCUAAAACAUGCAAGUCGAACGAAACUUGUUAAAUGCAUGCGGGUGCUUGCAUCCAAUUGCAUUGAUUUGUUUAGUGGCGAACGGUUGAGUAACACGUAGGAAUCUUCCUCUAACUCGGGAACAACUUGGGGAAACCCUUGCUAAUACCCGAUGUGAAGGCAACUUUAAAGAUUUAUCGGUUAGAGAUGAGCCUGCGGCCUAUUAGGUAGUUGGUGAGGUAAAUGCUCACCAAGCCAAUGAUGGGUAGCUGGUCUGAGAGGAUGACCAGCCAGAAGGGCACUGAGACACGGGCCCUACUUCUACGGAAGGCAGCAGUAUGGAAUAUUGCGCAAUGGACGAAAGUCUGACGCAGCGACGCCGCGUGAGGGAUGAAGGCCUUCGGGUUGUAAACCUCUGAAAAUAGCACCUGCUAACUACGUGCCAGCAGCAGCGGUCAUACGUAGGGUGCAAGCGUUACCCGGAUUUAUUGGGUGUAAAGAGUUCUGUAGGCGGUUAUGUAAGUUAGGGGUUAAAUCCUUCAGCUCAACUGAAGAUAAGCUUUUAAUACUGCAUGACUAGAGGAAUUUAGGGAAUAGCGGAACUUAUGGAGGAGCAGUGAAAUGCGUUGAUCUCAUAGGGAACAUCAAGGGGGAAGCCAGCUAUUUGGGAAUUUCCUGACGCUAAGAGACGAAAGCUGGGAUAGCGAAACGGAUUAGAUACCCGUGUAGUCCCAGCCGUAAACGAUGCCUGCUAGAUGCUUGUAUUUAUAUGAGUGUCGAAGCUAACGCGUUAAGCAGGCCACCUGGGGAGUACGGCCGCAAGGCUAAAACUCAAAGGAAUUGGCGGGGACCCGCACAAGCGGUGGAGCAUGCUCUUUAAUUCGCUGCUAACCGAAGAACCUUACCUGGACUUGUAUGUAACUGCAAGCCUACCGAAAGGUAGGCCUCUUUCGAAGGUGUUACACAGGUGUUGCAUGGCUGUUAUCAGCUCGUACCGUGAGGCGUACCCUUAAGUGGGUUAACGAGCGCAACCCCUAUCGUUAGUUGUAUCACUCUAGCGAAACUGCCUCGGCAACGAGGAGGAAGGCGGGGAUGAUUGUAAGUCGGUAUUGCCCUUACGUCCAGGGCUAGAAGCAUGCUACAAUGGCGCGGACAGCGAGUUUGCUACAUGGCAACAUGAUGCUAAUCUCUUAAACCGCGUCUCAGUUCGGAUUGAGGGCUGCAAUUCGCCCUCAUGAAGUUGGAAUCGCUAGUAAUCGCAGGUCAGCAAUACUGCGGUGAAUACGUUCUCGGGUCUUGCACACACUGCCCGUGACGUCAGCAAAGCUGGGGCCACCCGAAGCCUCAUUUAAUUGGGCCCAAGGUGGAAUCAGUGAUGAGGAUGAACUCGUAACAAGGUAGCCGUA